CAGACGGCGGAGAGCAGAGAGGGAGCGCGCCUUGGCUCGCUGGCCUUGGCGGCGGCUCCUCAGGAGAGCUGGGGCGCCCACGAGAGGAUCCCUCACCCGGGUCUCUCCUCAGGGAUGACAUCAUCCGUCCACCUCCUUGUCUUCAAGGACCACCUCCUCUCCAUGCUGAGCUGCUGCCAAGGGGCCUGCUGCCCAUCUACACCUCACGAGGGCACUAGGAGCACGGUUUCCUGGAUCCCACCAACAUACAAAGCAGCCACUCACUGACCCCCAGGACCAGGAUGGCAAAGGAUGAAGAGGACCGGAACUGACCAGCCAGCUGUCCCUCUUACCUAAAGACUUAAACCAAUGCCCUAGUGAGGGGGCAUUGGGCAUUAAGCCCUGACCUUUGCUAUGCUCAUACUUUGACUCUAUGAGUACUUUCCUAUAAGUCUUUGCUUGUGUUCACCUGCUAGCAAACUGGAGUGUUUCCCUCCCCAAGGGGGUGUCAGUCUUUGUCGACUGACUCUGUCAUCACCCUUAUGAUGUCCUGAAUGGAAGGAUCCCUUUGGGAAAUUCUCAGGAGGGGGACCUGGGCCAAGGGCUUGGCCAGCAUCCUGCUGGCAACUCCAAGGCCCUGGGUGGGCUUCUGGAAUGAGCAUGCUACUGAAUCACCAAAGGCACGCCCGACCUCUCUGAAGAUCUUCCUAUCCUUUUCUGGGGGAAUGGGGUCGAUGAGAGCAACCUCCUAGGGUUGUUGUGAGAAUUAAAUGAGAUAAAAGAGGCCUCAGGCAGGAUCUGGCAUAGAGGAGGUGAUCAGCAAAUGUUUGUUGAAAAGGUUUGACAGGUCAGUCCCUUCCCACCCCUCUUGCUUGUCUUACUUGUCUUAUUUAUUCUCCAACAGCACUCCAGGCAGCCCUUGUCCACGGGCUCUCCUUGCAUCAGGUAGGGGCUUUGCAGAGACCAUCGACGGGCUGACUUGAGUAAGAACACGAAUUAUGCAUGUGGCCAUUUCCAGAGCACUUUCUAUGUGAUAUGAACAUGUGAUUUUUAUGUAAUAUGUGUAUGUAAACGAGGCAGCCUCAUUUCCAGGUGAGGAUGCAUUUGGUAGUGUUGAUUUUUGUAAUUUAAAGAAGCUGAAAGGGAGAGAGGACCCGUGAGGACUGAACUCUCUGUCCCAUGGGGUAGGGCUUACAUUUACAUUAAAGAAACAGAAACUUGCUGGGAGGUGUAAGUAUUUGGUCACAUUGCUGGCAACAGAAGGGGUUGGAGUUGGACCCAGGGUGCCACGCUAGCUGCCCUCACCCCUUCUUCCCCUCUGGCCCAGAGUUAUACUAAGAGUCCUUUUAUUUCAAACCAAAUGUUUGACAAUGGGACAGUCUGUUUGAAAUCCCAGCUGCCUGGGGUGGUCUUGGGGGUCUGGGUGGCCCCAGUGCUGGUACCAUGUGCUGGCUUCACCUUUUAAUAACAGUGUGACCUUAAACAAGUCGCUUAACUACUCUAAGUUUCAGUUUCUUUCAUGGUCUAAAUGGAGAUUAAAACACACACACACACACACACACACACACACACACACACACCCCCUCGUGUAUCUACCCCACAGGGCGCUUUUGAAGACCAAAUGCUGUAACUACUAUGAAAGUGCUUUGUAAAUUGCUGUGGAAAGUGUGAGCUACUCAAGCACCCGAGGCUGUCCCUCCUUGCUCACAUGUCCAGCCCAAUUCUCCCUUAGUGAGAACAGCACUCAGUAGGUGCUGUGUGUGUUUGUGUUCAAUUAAGAAAUUCCAGAAUAAAUAAAAAUGAAUUAAUUCAACAAACAUUUUCUGGGGCACCGACAAUCUGCCCAGUGCACCAGGCUAGGUAUCUGAUACAAAGAUAAUGAAAACAGUCUCUUGGAACCUAAUUGGGGUCCUCAUUUGACCAGGAAUUUCUUUCGUCCCGUUUUAAGCCAACCAGUUUUGUCCGGACAAGACAAAAACAACUUGGGCUGCUUUAGAGAAGCCCAGCUCAGUGUAGACAAUAGCUGCCCAGCCUCUGAAAGGGGCUGAUUGGAUUAUGUGGCAAAUGGAGGUGCAAGGAUGACUUGGACGGUGACAAAUGAAGUGGGCGGAGACCUGCUUUGAGUUAAUCCAGGCUAUUAGGAGGGGACCUUUUGUCUUCCAGAGACUGGCAGGAGCUUUUACCAGUGGUUUUUACAUCCUUAAUGUUCAGGACGAAUAAUUUAUGGUCAGUGAAAAUCCAGGCCCCAGUGAGAUUCGAGUGGGCUGUAAAAUCGAGAGUCCUGCUCCCAGUGAGUAAUGGUAGUGAAUGUUUCUGUCACUUUUUGCAACCGUCCAUUCAUUUGAUCCUCACAACUCCCUGUCCUGAGCCAGGACCGGCCACUGCCACUCCCAGGGAAACAGAGGCUGUCAAGAGGCUCCACAGAUUGGGCCCCACUGGAUCAUUGAACCCCUGUUCCCUGAGUUCUAGAGGAAGAAUUGUACCUGUCUCAGUCCCGGCCACCUCCAGAAGGCCUCCCUCUGCAUUUCUGACUUUGCUGUGCCGGCAGCCUGGAGCCUCCCAGGUCCCUGCUGUCAUCUUUUCUAGCCACUACAGUCUCUGUCUUUCCUUUCACAGCCAAGCUUCUUGAAAGGCCUGUCUACACUUGCUGUCUUCCUUCCUCACCUCCAAUUUCCUCUUCAACCCACUGCUUCCUGACUCGCUCUACUCCGUGGAAGCACGCUCACAAAGGUUCCCAGUGCCCCCGACAAGCCCCUGCUGGUGUCUCCAUCUCCUGCCAAGCAUCCUCCAGUGCCUCCUCCUGUGGGCCUGGCCUCAGGGCUAUGGACAGACUCCUGUCCCAUCCCAGAGACCCCUCGUGAUCGUGCCCUGGCACGUGGGCCGUGGCCCGGCUGGGUCGGCUGAAGAACUGCGGAUGGAAGCUGCGGAAGAGGCCCUGAUGGGGCCCACCAUCCCGGACCCAAGUCUUCUUCCUGGCGGGCCUCUCGUCUCCUUCCUGGUUUGGGCGGAAGCCAUCACCUGGAUGCCUACGUGGGAAGGGACCUCGAAUGUGGGACCCCAGCCCCUCUCCAGCUCGAAAUCGGCAGACUAGGAUGGAAGUGCCCUGUGAGCUGGGGGGCCCUUCAAAGGGCCAAGGAGAAAACGCAGGCCGAGGGACCAGCCUUCCAAAUGGGCUUCAAGCUCCAAUGACCUCCGCUCGCCCCCUCGAAAUGUCUGGAAAACAUAAUGGGCAGAUUUUCUGUCUUCAAAGUUUCCGGCUAAACCUCUUCAAGUUCUUUAUUGUUUGGGACUGAGACACUCAGCCAUGUUAAUGGGUAGUUUCUUUUGUAUUUGCCUUGAAAGGCCAAAAUAUUUUUAUAUUGCCACAGACAAAGCCACCUAUUUAAAAAUGAACUCCAUGUCCGUCGUUUCCCACCAGGAGACUAUGUACCAUGUGUGUGUCUCUAUGUAUUCUGGGGUCUUGAAACAGGUUUCUCAUGGGGAUGGUCAUUCACCACGGUCCAGAGGGGCAGAACAGGCGGCGCUUGCCUUGCCCAGGGGGCCUGGGGAACGUGGGCCCUCAUCUCAGAUCUGCCCCCAGUAUGUUUAGGACGCGAGCCCCAGAAGGAUCUGGGAGUAAACUUAACAUUCACUGUGUCUCUGCUCUGCAUCCGCCAUUUGUGUGUGUUUCUGGACUGUGGGCUGUGUGUACCUUGGUUGGUGACUCAGUGAGAAGAAGCAGGAAUGCCAAAGAUACUGUGAAUGUUCUGAGUUUUGUUGCUGUUGUUGUUGAGAGGUUGUUUCACUGGUAUCUAUUGCAUUGUAUAAUAAAUGACCAGAUGAAUGAAUGAGUGAAGCAAGAGAGAAUGAAUAAACAAGUAAAUAGGUAAAGAAGUAAGCAAGCCAGGAUGAGAGUGUGUGUACACAAGACCAUGGUUCAUCCGCUUUGAUGGCUAGGCAAUCAAUAUAUAAAUAGAAAAAAACCAGUGAAUCACUAAGUAAUAGGGCAACACACAAAGCGAUAUCAGGUGAUUAUGGACUAAGGGGUAUGUGUAACUCAAAUAUAUGCCUCUGACAUUUGACAAUGAAAAAGAACCUAAAUGAAAGAAAGAAUGGAUGUAUGAGUAGUGAAGUGCAGAAUGAGACAUAGAUUUUGAGGCCCGUCAAAAUGAAAAGAUGCAAGUUAGGGAACAAGUGAUCAAAAGGGAGAAGGGAAAGGUUUUUUUUAAAAAACCAAAACAACAAAGAAAGGUUAAAAAAAAAAACAGACUAGAGGAUGAGUAAUGAGUAACUCUGUAAGGAGGACCAUGUCAGACUAUUGUAAGCUAAGCAUUAGGACUGAUACAAAUAAUAUAUGCUCCUGGCAUAGAAAAAUAAACCACAGAGAACGAGUUCAAAGAAUAGCAAAGAAAGAAAGAGGACCCAGUGGGCGAAAGAUGAGAGUGUACUUUUACCAAAAGUUAUCUAAGCCUGAGCACUUGAAGUCUGCACAUAAAUAAAUAAAUGACAAAAGAAAGAAAAAAAGGCCAAAAAGUCUACAUUGCGUGUGUGGAUGGAUGAAUGAGCAGUGGGAGUGCAGCGCCAGGUGACAAGAUGUUGUGAGGGGUUUUGAGUCAUCCAGUCCUGGGCACUGAGGUCUGUUAGAUGAAAGGAUAUGAGAAAGGUAAUAUUGGUAAAUAAAGAAAUAGGAAACAAUGUAACAAAUGUUAAGUACAGAAAUACAUUAAUGGGUGGUAAAUAAAGAUGUAAAAGAAGGCAAUGCGAUCGAUGGUGGCAAAAGAUCAUCACAGAUUAAGGGCUAUGGCUGGUCCACUUCUAGAAAACCACAGGCUGUCCAUUAAAUAAUGAACAUCUAAGUGAACAAGUCAGUGAGUACCUAAAUAGACAAGGAUGAGGUGAAUGAGAAGACAUGGCCCCAUGGGUCCUCCUGAUGAGGGUGUUGGGGUCCCCCCUGGGCACCCCAGCUGCAUGAAAAUGAAGGACAGGAGGUAUGGAAAGCUAUGACAGAAGAGAGAAAGGAACGGUAAAAAGAAAUAACAACCAAAUGGAUAAAUGGGUAGAUCCACGAGAAGAGUUAGGCUAGGACUUGUCAUAAGGGCACCUGACUCCACUAAUAGAGGAAUAAAUGCCUAAUAAAAAGAGAGCAAGCAGGAAGGAAGGAUGCUAUGAAUGCAGGAAGGAAGUAAUGAGUGAGACGUGGAACCGCACGGCCAAGGAUGGACGUUUGCGGGUGGCUUUUUGAUGCGUACAGCCAAGCCACUCCAUGGCAAUGAGCUCCGAAGACAAAGUGCAAGAGAGAAUGAGUGAGAGAGUGAGAGAGAGAGAAACAAUAAAAAAUGGGAAGAAAUGUAAAAAGGAAGAAAGGAAGAGAGGUAAUAUAUUAAGGAAUAAAUACAUGCAUGCAGAUUUAAGACAGAGCCAUGCUAGAACAGGAAUGAAAGGCUGUGUGAACCAAGCAGACCGCUUAAUUGGCACCAGUGCUGCUGGUAUGGUCAAUCACCUACUCAACUAAGGAACGGCUCAAAGCAUACACAUGGGAGGGAGGAGUGGGGCCACAGAGAGAGGGCCCAUUAGUUGCAGAUUACGAUGUAUCCAGUUAGGUGCACCUGCCUUCGAGAAGUGUAAAAAUAAGUAUUUACAUAGAAAGAAAGACUGAAUGGAUGCACGGUGAAUGCAUGAAUGAUUGAACGACAGAAAAGAUUUGCAUUGACCGAUGAGGAGGGCAUUGUAGACAGGGAUGAGGGUCAUUGAUCCUGGGUGCAGAUCUCCAAAAGAAUGACAGAAAGAAAGAGGGAGUGGUGGAAAGAAACAAUAGGAUGGGAAAAAAUGAAAAUAGAAAAAAGGAAGUGAAAGAGAUAAUAAAUAAUUAGAUCAAAUAAGUUGAUGAAAGGGGACUGGUUUAGCACAAGCCAUCCACAUUAAUUCAAACCUGUGGCUCUGAAGUUUGUUUUUUAAAUGACCACAAGUGUAAGACUGAAUGAAAGAAUAAAUGCGUGCAUUCCAUAGGAUGCAAGAAAAGGAGUGAGGAAUGGGAAAAUUGGAAGAACGAGAGAGGGAGAGAUGUAAGAAAAGAAAGGAAAAGUGAAGUAGGCAUAUGAAAGAAAAGGCACUUCUUGGACAAGCACUGAAAUAUAAUGAGACAGUUUUACCCAUUAAAUAUAAUAAACAGUAAACGUUGAGGUUCAUCAAUAAAAGCACAGAUACCUGAAUAGAGGAGUGACCUGAAUAGAAUUCGUUCAGCCGAACGAAUGAGAAUGGAUGAUUUUCACUAUCCUGUGCACUCAAGGCCCAAAAGAGAAAGCAAGAGAGGAGAGAAUAUGGAAACGUAUGACAGGAUGUAUAUAAGCAAUACAAACAUAUUGAAUGAAUAAAUAAAGACAUAAAUAUGUGGGAGAGUGGACCACGCAAGGACAAAAAGAGGAGAGAAGGCAGCAAGAAUUAUGACUAAUUCAAAACUGGGUUCCUGAGAUAGUUAAAUAAAUCCUGCACCAAAUCCCCAGGGGGAGAAAUUAACAAACAAAAGACAGCCCCACACGGACCAGUGUGCAGAAGGCUCCAGGAACCGCAGAUUAUGGUUAAUCCAAUUCUGUGCACCUGAGGUCCAUAAAUAAAAGAAUAAGUAUUGAAAUGAAAGAAUGACAGAAAGAAUGAAUGGACACAUGAACGACUGAAUUAGAAAUGGAAAUGCCUGGCACAGCCAGGAAGGAGCUGCCCAUGGGAUUGUCAUUCAUCUCACUCUGGGCACCUGAGGUCCAUAAGCGUGAAAAGAGGCAGGAAGAGAAGUGUCAGGGAGUCAAAGAUAGAGCUAAGGAAAGGCAAAAAUGAAACUAAAUGAAAGCGAAAGGGAAAAUAAAGAAAAACCAAUAAAAAAGAGAACGAAUACGUGGGUGUAUCUGUAAGAGUAGGAUCUGUUAGGAUUAGUCAUAAGACUGUCAGUAAUCCUGAAGAUGGAUGAGAUAAUCCAGGCCCAGGUUCCCAGGGGGAGGGAAAAUGGAGAAAAUAUAAAAAGAUGUGAAAAAGGAAAAA
rnacentral:lncRNA from 1 species